rnacentral:rRNA from 1 species
GACGAACGCUGGCGGCGUGCUUAACACAUGCAAGUCGAACGGAAAGGCCCUGCUUUUGUGGGGUGCUCGAGUGGCGAACGGGUGAGUAACACGUGAGUAACCUGCCCUUGACUUUGGGAUAACUUCAGGAAACUGGGGCUAAUACCGGAUAGGAGCUCCUGCUGCAUGGGGGGGGUUGGAAAGUUUCGGCGGUUGGGGAUGGAUUCGCGGCUUAUCAGCUUGUUGGUGGGGUAGUGGCUUACCAAGGCUUUGACGGGUAGCCGGCCUGAGAGGGUGACCGGCCACCUUGGGACUGAGGUACGGCCCAGACUCCUACGGGAGGCAGCAGGGGGGAAUAUUGCACAAUGGGCGGAAGCCUGAUGCAGCAACGCCGCGUGCGGGAUGACGGCCUUCGGGUUGUAAACCGCUUUCGCCUGUGACGAAGCGUGAGUGACGGUAAUGGGUAAAGAAGCACCGGCUAACUACGUG